CCUACGGUGUGCUGCAGUGGGGAAUAUUGGACAAUGGGCGAAAGCCUGAUCCAGCCAUGCCGCGUGUGUGAAGAAGGCCUUCGGGUUGUAAAGCACUUUCAGUGGGGAAGAAAGCCUUGGGGCUAAUACCCUCGAGGAAGGACAUCACCCACAGAAGAAGCACCGGCUAACUCCGUGCCAGCAGCCGCGGUAAUACGGAGGGUGCGAGCGUUAAUCGGAAUUACUGGGCGUAAAGCGCGCGUAGGCGGUCUGAUAAGCCGGUUGUGAAAGCCCCGGGCUCAACCUGGGAACGGCAUCCGGAACUGUCAGGCUAGAGUGCAGGAGAGGAAGGUAGAAUUCCCGGUGUAGCGGUGAAAUGCGUAGAGAUCGGGAGGAAUACCAGUGGCGAAGGCGGCCUUCUGGACUGACACUGACGCUGAGGUGCGAAAGCGUGGGUAGCAAACAGGAUUAGAUACCCUAGUAGUC
rnacentral:rRNA from 1 species